GUGGGGAAUAUUGCGCAAUGGGGGAAACCCUGACGCAGCGACGCCGCGUGAGCGAAGAAGGCCUUAGGGUUGUAAAGCUCUGUUUUAAGGGACGAAUGUCGUGGGGAGUAAUAUGCUCUGCGAAUGACGGUACCUUAAGAGGAAGCCCCGGCUAACUACGUGCCAGCAGCCGCGGUAAGACGUAGGGGGCGAGCGUUGUCCGGAAUUACUGGGCGUAAAGAGCACGUAGGCGGGAACUUAAGUCAGGUGUGAAAGACCGGGGCUCAACUCCGGGGUUGCACUUGAAACUGGGUUUCUUGAGGGCAGGAGAGGAAAGCAGAAUUCCUGGUGUAGCGGUGAAAUGCGUAGAAAUCAGGAGGAAUACCAGUGGCGAAGGCAAUCCCCUGGGCCUGCACUGACGCUCAUGCACGAAAGCGUGGGGAGCAAACAGGAUUAGAAACCCCAGUAGUCC
rnacentral:rRNA from 1 species